GAUGUGGCUGGCUGGAGAAAAGAAGGCGUUUCAGUAAAUUAAAAACCGAGACGAACCCAGAAAACCCAACAGAGCUGCUAGUGUUUUAUUCUCGGGACACUUGCAAAACUUAAAGUAUAAGUCCAAACUCCCAGACUUGUCCGGUCUUAUCCAAACAUCCCGACAGCUGUUACGCAUUUACAAAAAACACAAGCCAACUGGACGGACAGAGAAGCUGCUGUGUCUGACUCAGUGUGCAGAGAUGCUGCAACAAGCUCCUCCUGGGCAUGGAGGACAGAAUAAUCUCAAAAACUCUCUGCCCACCAUGCCAUGAUAAACCAGCACAACCAGACAGCCCAGCAAAUGGAAACCUCGCCUAAAGAACCAGACUAAUGAACCUCAAAUGAAAAUGAAGCCCUUAAACUCAAGAUGGAUGAUUUUUAAACACUUG